rnacentral:rRNA from 1 species
AUUGAACGCUGGCGGAAUGCUUUACACAUGCAAGUCGAACGGCAGCACGAGGGCAACCUUGGUGGCGAGUGGCGAACGGGUGGGUAAUACAUCGGAACGUGCCCAGUCGUGGGGGAUAACUACGCGAAAGCGUAGCUAAUACCGCAUACGAACUCUGGUUGAAAGCGGGGGAUCGCAAGACCUCGCGCGAUUGGAGCGGCCGAUGGCAGAUUAGGUAGUUGGUGGGGUAAAGGCUCACCAAGCCGACGAUCUGUAGCUGGUCUGAGAGGACGACCAGCCACACUGGGACUGAGACACGGCCCAGGCUCCUACGGGAGGCAGCAGUGGGGAAUUUUGGACAAUGGGCGCAAGCCUGAUCCAGCUACCCCGCGUGCAGGAUGAAGGCCCUCGGGUUGUAAACUGCUUUUGUACGGAACGAAAAGGCUCUGGUUAAUACCCGGAGCUCAUGACGGUACCGUAAGAAUAAGCACCGGCUAACUACGUGCCAGCCGCCGCAGUAACAC